rnacentral:rRNA from 1 species
AACUUGUGCUAAUACCGGAUAAGUCUUUACGGAGAAAGCUUUAUGCACCAUUGGAUGAGCCUGCACUUGAUUAGUUUGUUGGUGGGGUAAUGGCCUACCAAGACUGUGAUCAAUAGCUGAUUUGAGAGGAUGAUCAGCCACAUUGGGACUGAGACACGGCCCAAACUCCUACGGGAGGCAGCAGUGGGGAAUCUUGCACAAUGGAGGAAACUCUGAUGCAGCGAUGCCGCGUGAGUGAAGAAGGCCUUUGGGUUGUAAAGCUCUUUCGUCGGGGAAG